AUUAGGUGGGGGGGGGGGGGAGUGGAGCAAUUUGGAGGGUGGGUUGUUGUUGAUAGAGAAGUAGGUGUGAGCGACAUUGGACAGGCGAUUGUCCGUUGUAGAUGAUAGAGUAGUGGAGACGGAACCAUUAUUUGAGAGGCAGAAUUGUUUUGCGGAGCAAGGAUACCUUGGCAACGUGGGAGGGGCACUCGCGAGUGCGCUGGAGUAUUGUCCAGUGUUGUGGACCCCGUGCAGUAAAGAUUGGAAUUGCUUCUGAAUCGAGAGCAGCAGGAGGUUUGGCUUAAUGUUCUUGUGAUCAGGAUGGAUUCAGCACAUGACUGUUGAUGCAAUUUUGGAGGUUUUGGUGAUCGUUUUACUACAAUGCAAUAGAUGUCAUCUUGUGCGUUUGUUGGAUUCGUCUUGCCUUUGAUAGUUGGCAACACAUUAUUGCUAGGGAUUGUAUUUAUGUUGCCAAUUUUCAUUAGUGCUUCCAUGGAGUGGUCUUCCAUCCUAUGCAAUUCUCUCAUGGUUUGUUGAAAUGAUCAUUGGGUUGGGUUGUGAAAUUGGUGCAAUGUAAGUUUAGGGAAGUUGAUCAAUACGUAAUGUGGUUCAAAGUGUUGUUAUGUUAUAUUUAUAACUAUUUUUUUUGGAAGUAAGUAUUGCAUUUUGUAA